GGGAGGGAGGGAGAGAGAGAGAGACGGAGGCGACUUUAGGGUUUCACUCCUGUCGCCGGCGCCCCAGGCCGCAAGCCCGGAACAGAAUCUUCCGCUUCCGCCGUCGCCCCCGGCCGGAACAGAGGCUCGCCGCUCCCGCCGGCGAACCGGAGCUACAGGCGCAUCCGGUGGGCCGCUCUGCACCGGAGGCCGUACAUUUCCGGCGGAAUCGCGCGUCUCCUCCUUCACCGGAUCUCCCUCCGUCCAACCCGCAGCGCCCCGUCUCCGACGGCCUGUUCCGCAUCUCGGCCGCCCUCCUGGGCCUGCAGCUUCCUCCUCCCACCUCAGCAUUCCGUCUAUCUGGCCGGCAUCUCCUCGACAGAGUGUUCAGUGGUCUUGGUUAGCACAGUACCAUGGAUCCCGAUCCCGCCACUGACACCACUCUUGUUUUUGAAAAAGAUGUACUGGAAACAGUUUUUACUCAAGCUGCACCUUAUGUUGCAAGGCUUAAUAUGCGGCCCGUCCGUACAGACCUCCUUAUUGGAUCAACAGAAUUGCAUGCUUUGGUAUCUGUUGACUCUUCUACGCUGACCGAAUUGCCCAAAUCGGUUCAGUUUUAUAAUCAGAAGAAAGCUGCAAUUGUUCAGAAGAAGGUGGGGCAACUUCCUGGGUGCAGUAUUACUAUCCUGUUUACAGACCGCAUGCACAACCCGCUGCCUCCUGUUCAAUUUGCUGAUUUGGAUCCCAAUGACAAUGUGUGUGAGAAGGUGGUGUCUCUUUUCCCCUAUAUGGAUGGAAUUUCUAUGUUCAAUGGACAUGUUGUGUUAAAUAAUUGCACUUCCAUGGGUAGGGGGGGAACUAUUCAGCCAGGAUCCGCAGACUUGUUUGCAUUUACUUGCACAAACGCGGUCCUAUUUCACAUAGCAAGAAACGAUGAUGAAGCAAAACUGGUAGCAGAACAUCUUCGAAAGAUUGCUGGUGCUGCUGUGUUCAACUUAAAGGGCGAGGUUGUUGGCAUACUAAGUUCGUAUGCUAGAGGUUAUGAUGUGAAACUGGCCAAGAAGUCAUCUUACUUUAAAAAGCACUUUGAUAAACUGGGAGACAAACAAGUGAAGUGACUGAUGGUAAUGCCCAGCAAAACAAUGUAUUCAAUAUAAUACUGACUUUAUUUGAAUUUCAGGGGCAGGGGAAGUUCUCUAAGUCGGAGAUCCCGAGGAAGCCUAAUAUCUGAAGACACUCGAUGCUUUUUGGUUUUUGUGAGACAUGAUCAACUAGACGGUGAGGUACCCAUACCUAAGUAGCUAUGGAAAGAACAACAAGUCAGCUAUGUCGUGGCCAGCGGUGACUUCCUCAGUAGCAGGGCCCAUACCCAAGAAUAGGGUGAUGGAGCAUGGGUGGAGGCAUUCAAAUGUCGAGCUUUCUGGAUAACAGCGACAAUCUGAACAAUUCACCUAUAUCGAGAAUUUUUUGGUGUACAUAAAGGACCAUGGUGAUUUCUGUGGUUUUAAUUUUAGCAAGUGAGAUAACCUUGUCAAGCAAAUGAUACUAACAGGGACUACUUGAUUUUGAUGUCUCAAGACAAUAUGGUUAUGGUUAUGUGAUCUCAUAGCUGAACAUCUGCUUCUUUGUAUAAAAUUUCUGGUUGCAGAAGAUUGUUUA